AUGGGUUAAGUGACUAUUCAGCUUCCUCACCCCCCAAGUCUAUCUUCCUCUCGUUCUCUCAUCGCACAAAGGCGAUUUUCGGCGAGCAUCCGCCAUCAUCGCUGCCGCGAAAUGGCCUUGAAUCAGUAACUCCCAAACAUGAGCCUACCCUAAAAUCACGUCCUGAGUCUAAUUCCCUCAACAGAUUACACGAAAAACUCUUCAUUUGGCCGAAUCGAAGAACUUCAUUACUAAACCUAAGUUCUAGUUAUCACGGAUUCAAGUAAUUUCCAGAAAUUGAAGCAAGAAGUAACUUAAUCAUAUGAAAACGCACAAAGAAGAAUCAUAAAAUGCCUCGGAGGAACCUGUUUAGGCGACCUGAGCUUCCGAUACGGCGGCGGAGAUUCCCGACCACCGUGAAACUCAGGUAUAUGUGCGGUUGAUUGGCUAUUAGCAUGAACAUGGUCAGAUGGAGGUUAGGGAGUAUAGCAGGGCUGUCAUGUGUAGCUCUUAAAUUGGUUCUGCAUGAACUGUUUGAAUGAAGAUUCAGUGCAUUUGAUUUGCACGUAACUUGCUCGAUUCAGUUCUAAACAUGUCCAAAUGUAGGUUGAAGUCAUAACUCUGGAGCUUAUUUGGCCAUGAAGAAGGGAAGAAUUGGAAAGAAUACGACGGAAACUCGAGGAGGAAGAGGAAAUGGAAGACCUUAGUCCUUAGGAUAAGUUUGGGGAUGUAUUUGAAUGAAAUGAUUUGUGUAAUUUUCUUGAUGACAAUGUAAUUGAAUUGAAGUUGUAAUGGUGUACUGAACAUGCCCUUGGAUGAGAGAAUUUGAAUCUUGACUUAAAAUGUGUAAUACUUCUUUUUUAUCAAAGUACUUUUGAUUUUUUCUC